AUGUUGGGUUUACUGACGAUUUGCCCACCGUGGAGGAAACGCUGGAAAACGUUAACGAGGGUGCGGACCAGAUCACCUCAAACUCUGAUACCGCUGCCCAGGAAUCUACAUUAUCAAGCGGAACCAACUCCAGCGUCCAGUCUGAUGAUGGCAGCGAGCAGACCAACGACCACAUUAUUCCAGCGUUACUUUAGGUUUAGGCUUCCAUGGAUCAUUAAGUCAGGACCUGGAACAAGAGUUUCCUCUCGUUAUGACAAGGCCAUGCGCACUUGGUCAACUGAGCAGAGGCGCAAAAUGUUUGGAUGGAAAAACAACUGGAGAGAAGUCAACAACGUGAAGUGAGGCUCCUUGCUAAACUAGUCGAGGAAACUUCAUGAUCAAAUGAACGUCUUGCAGGGCAACUACUAUCAGGUCUUAGUAGCAUCUUUUCCCAAGUAACAAGCACAACACCCAUUAUCCAGAGAGGAACUGCACAAUUCCAAUACUCCCAUCUCCAACCACGUCAUCCAUACCCUGACAGCCAAAAUGUUUACCAGUCACAGAACCCCAUCCUACAGCGACACCGACAGUUACAUUUCUAUGAGCAUAUAGGUAAAAAAUAAAAACCACAAACACCAGUUUGGUACUGCUUAAUACUUUUACUGUUUAUUUCAGUAAGUAACUUCACAUUUUUACAUACAGAUUUGUUAGGUUAGUAAAAAAUGUUCUAAACCACAGUGGCAAUAACACUAAGAAUAUUGUUCUGUACAGUUCCUAAAGCAAACUACUGAGGUUUUUGUUGCAUUGCUAUUUGUUUUAUUUUGUCUAUUUGCUGCUGGUAUUUGUAACAUUUGUGUAACUGAAGUUUUUGCUUUACAUUUAAAGAACUAAAUUUGAGUUGUUUGCACAGAAUAUAUGUACCGUUUUAUUUGUGUCCUUACAUUUAUAGUUGUCCUUACAUUGUGCUGUGUAAAUGCUGUGUAAAUGCAUGACUGUGACUUAAUAGAUUGAACUAAGAUCCAUAGCGAACAGUAAAUGUAUGUUGCACAAAAUUGCUUUGCAUUAAAACAUGCUCAAGUACUCCUCAUUCAAACUGAACUAAAUGUUUACACAAUGUAUAUAGUUUUAUUUAUUUGUUCCUGCUGACAUUUUUUACAUUUUAGAUAGAUAGAUAGAUAGAUACUUUAUUGAUCCCGAUGGAAAUUUAGGCAUCCAGCAGCAACAACACAAUACAGUAAGAAACAUAUUCAACAUCUAUUAAACACAGAAGAAUAGAAAAUAUAUAAGGGUAUAAAAACUUUCUGUACAAGGUAAAGAACUAUCUGUAGAUGGAGCAGUAUAGUAGAUUUUGCUAACAGCCAAUAAAUAAGUUCACAGAGCAAAGUGCAAGGUGCAAACGACAUUGGUUAUAAAAGUGACUGAUGUGCCAUAGAAUUAUUAAUAUGUACAUGUAAACAAUAUAGUUCUGUAAAGUGAAUAUGUGAAUAUAUGAAUGCCCCACCUUGAGUAAAUGUACUUGAGUGUAAGAGAGGUUGGGGAAGUGUAAUCUUGAAAAAAUAAUUAAGCGGUUGAGUAGUUGAAUAAUGUCCAUGUAGUGUGACUGGGUUAAACUCAGUCAGCAGCAGCAUCCCGUCCCCGAUGGGAGGAAUUGAAGAGUCUGAUGGCUCUCGGAAUGAAUGAUCUUCUGAGUCUGCCUGUUGUGCAGCUCUGUGACAGCAGUCUGCCACUGAACACACUCCUCUGCUUCAUGAUGAUGGUGUGAAGUGGGUGACUAUCAUUGUUCAUGAUAGAAAGCAGUUUAUCCAAAGUCCUCCUAUCUGCUAUUGUAACCAGAGAGUCCAGCUCCACACCCACCACUGCCCCGGCCCUCCUGACCAGCUUGUCCAGCCUUGAAGCAUCUCUACUCUUCAUGUUGCCUCCCCAGCAAACCACAGCGUAGAAGAGAAUGUUGGCCACGAUUGAGUGGUAGAACAUCUGCAGAAGCUUCUUACAGAUGUUAAAGGACUGCAGUCUCCUCAGGAAAUAGAGCCGACUCUGUGCUUUCCUGUACAGGGUGUCCGUGUUUGUUGACCAGUCCAGUUUGUUGUCCAGAUGCAGACCAAGGUACUUGUAGGUCUUGACCGUCUCCACAUCAACCCCCUCAAUGGAGACUGGCUGCAGGGAUAGUCCAGAACUAUGGAAGUCCACCACCAACUCCUUGGUCUUGGAUAUGUUCAACUGCAGUUGGUUCAGUCGACACCAAGCAACAAAUUUCUCCACCUGUCUCCUGUACUCCUCCUCCUGACCACCCUUGACACAUCCAACGAUGGCAGUGUCAUCCGAGAAUUUCUGCAGAUGGCACAUCUCAGAGUUGUACUGGAAGUCUGUGUAGAGAGUGAAGAGGAAGGGACUGGGUGUGCUGACAGUCUGUGAGAGGGAGAUCUGUGCAGCACUGAGAAGAGGGUGUGAGGUGUCCGGAGGGGCAGAGGCUGAGGUUGCUGUGAUGGCAGGGCAGACAGAAGCAGAUGAGGAUGAAACAGGAC
ensembl:lncRNA